AACGAACGCUGGCGGCAUGCCUAACACAUGCAAGUCGAACGAAGGCUUCGGCCUUAGUGGCGCACGGGUGCGUAACGCGUGGGAACCUGCCCCUCGGUUCGGAAUAACAGUUAGAAAUGACUGCCAAUACCGGAUGAUGACUUCGGUCCAAAGAUUUAUCGCCGAGGGAUGGGCCCGCGUAGGAUUAGCUUGUUGGUGGGGUAAAGGCCUACCAAGGCGACGAUCCUUAGCUGGUCUGAGAGGAUGAUCAGCCACACUGGGACUGAGACACGGCCCAGACUCCUACGGGAGGCAGCAGUGGGGAAUAUUGGACAAUGGGCGAAAGCCUGAUCCAGCAAUGCCGCGUGAGUGAUGAAGGCCUUAGGGUUGU
rnacentral:rRNA from 1 species